rnacentral:rRNA from 1 species
GAUGAACGCUGGCGGCGUGCCUAAUACAUGCAAGUCGAGCGAACGGACGAGAAGCUUGCUUCUCUGAUGUUAGCGGCGGACGGGUGAGUAACACGUGGAUAACCUACCUAUAAGACUGGGAUAACUUCGGGAAACCGUAGCUAAUACCGGAUAAUAUUUUGAACCGCAUGGUUCAAAAGUGAAAGACGGUCUUGCUGUCACUUAUAGAUGGAUCCGCGCUGCAUUAGCUAGUUGGUAAGGUAACGGCUUACCAAGGCAACGAUGCAUAGCCGACCUGAGAGGGUGAUCGGCCACACUGGAACUGAGACACGGUCCAGACUCCUACGGGAGGCAGCAGUAGGGAAUCUUCCGCAAUGGGCGAAAGCCUGACGGAGCAACGCCGCGUGAGUGAUGAAGGUCUUCGGAUCGUAAAACUCUGUUAUGAGGGAAGAACAUAUGUGUAAGUAACUGUGCACAUCUUGACGGUACCUAAUCAGAAAGCCACGGCUAACUACGUG